rnacentral:tRNA from 1 species
GGGCAAUUAGCUCAGGGGUAGAGCACUUCAUUCACACUGAAGGGGUCGUAGGUCCGAAUCCUACAUUGCCCA